rnacentral:rRNA from 1 species
AUGCCUACCAAUAGCAUCGGCAAGUGUUGCUUCCCCAAACUACAGAUUGUUGAUCCCCGCAAAGCAUCAGCAAGUGUUGGUCUACCCAAACUACAGAUUGUUGAUUUUAUUACAUUCGCACCAUCCCCUUUUGGAAAUAAUAAACAUGGACGUAGUUCUUAUUUUAUACGAGCUCGGCCAUCUCCACUGUUACAUGCUGAACAUAUGCCUACCAAUAGCAUCAGCAAGGGUUACUUCCCCAAACUACAGAUUAUUGACCCCCCCCCCCAAAGGCCCGCAUCAGCAGGUGUUGGUCUCCCCAAACUACCGACUCUUGAUUAUUACAUUUGCAGCAUCCCCUUUUGGAAAUAA